CUUUUGACCUCGGAUCAGGUAGGAGGCCGAUACCCGCUGAACUUAAGCAUAUCAAUAAGCGGAGGAA
rnacentral:rRNA from 1 species